GACGAACGCUGGCGGCGUGCCUAAUACAUGCGAGUUGAGCGCUGAAGGUUGGUACUUGUACCAACUGGAUGAGCAGCGAACGGGUGAGUAACGCGUGGGGAAUCUGCCUUUGAGCGGGGGACAACAUUUGGAAACGAAUGCUAAUACCGCAUAAAAACUUUAAACACAAGUUUUAAGUUUGAAAGAUGCAAUUGCAUCACUCAAAGAUGAUCCCGCGUUGUAUUAGCUAGUUGGUGAGGUAAAGGCUCACCAAGGCGAUGAUACAUAGCCGACCUGGGAGGGUGAUCGGCCACAUUGGGACUGAGACACGGCCCAAACUCCUACGGGAGGCAGCAGUAGGGAAUCUUCGGCAAUGGACGAAAGUCUGACCGAGCAACGCCGCGUGAGUGAAGAAGGUUUUCGGAUCGUAAAACUCUGUUGGUAGAGAAGAACGUUGGUGAGAGUGGAAAGCUCAUCAAGUGACGGUAACUACCCAGAAAGGGACGGCUAACUACGUG
rnacentral:rRNA from 1 species